CCUACGGGGGGCAGCAGUGGGGAAUAUUGGGCAAUGGGCGCAAGCCUGACCCAGCAAUGCAGCGUGAAGGAAGAAGGCUUUCGGGUUGUAAACUUCUUUGACAGUGGAAGUGCAGAAGACGGUACCCUGAAAACAAGCCACGGCUAACUACGUGCCAGCAGCCGCGGUAAUACGUAGGUGGCAAGCGUUGGCCGGAUUUACUGGGUGUAAAGGGCGUGUAGCCGGGAAGGCAAGUCAGAUGUGAAAUCUGGAGGCUCAACCUCCAAAUUGCAUUUGAAACUGUUUGUCUUGAGUACUGGAGAGGCAGACGGAAUUCGUGGUGUAGCGGUGAAAUGCGUAGAUAUAAGGAGGAACACCAGUGGAGAAGGCGGUCUGCUGGACAGCAACUGACGGUGAGGCGCGAAAGCGUGGGGAGCAAACAGGAUUAGAUACCCCAGUAGUC
rnacentral:rRNA from 1 species